ACAACAUGCACUGAAAAAUCAUUUUGCGGCUGAAAGAUGAUGAAAAGAGAAAAAUAGCUUGUCAGAACUUAGAAAUAUAUGGUCUCAACUCUCAUGUGUCCUCUAGAAAUAAACACGAGCCACACACAUGAAGAUAAGCUCAGGGAGUGCUAUGGAGAAAGCUGGGAAUUUGGUAUCCUCAAGGAACUUCAACCCAAUAUUCAAUCCAUGCCACCCUGCUGCAUCCAAUUCCAAGGUCAAAAGCUUCAGGUUGCUCUCUCAAUUGCACACUUACAACAACAAUUCCAGUAUUACAGCUUCUACCAAAAGAAAGGAUAACUUGCACUCUCCAUUGAUUGGGAAGAAGAACACGAGUAAGGCUGCUCGCCGUCUGAUCACAAUAUCACCAGGCGAUGGCAAAUAUCAUGAAGAAUGGACUAGUGACUAUCUCGUGUCUUUGCAAGACCUGCAGUUGCAGGACUUGAUUGAAGUAGAAGAUGAUCCAAACAAGGAUGCAGAAGUAGUCAUCAACCUCUCCAUCCAAAAGCAUGCUAGCUUUGGCUUGUCGGUGGAUGGAAGAGUCACAACAUCCUUCACUAGAAAAUGUAGCAUCUGUUCUUCCCCAUAUUGCCGACAGAUUGACGCAAAAUUUAAUGUAUGGGUUCUCAUGGAAAGUAGAGAUAAUCGCAAGAUACAGCAGCUACCUGAAAUUGGAGGUGACCCUUCUGUGAUGUAUGUUAGACCAGGAUAUGAAGUUGAUCUCGAUUCUCUUGUACAAGACGCCAUCCGAUUAAACUCCUCAGUAGAAGACACAUGCUCGGAGUUAUGCGAGAAAUCUGAGUAUACCAUACAAUUUACAACUGGACAAAGUGAGGCUUCUAUAGACAGAAGGUGGUCUAGACUAUUGGAACUGAAGAAAGCUUUAUGAUUUAUCAUGGCACAGAAUAAGAAGUUUCAUGUAUAGAAUAAUCGUCAGUUCACGUAUAGAUUCUUUACGUUCGGUUUGCAAAAUAAAUGGACACCACCACGGUGCCUGAAGUAAUUCUCCAAUCCUCCGUCGAGCAGCGGAGGAUGCAAGUGAUGGACCUCAGCACGUACUGCACCAGAAGCAGCAGUAUGUUUAGUACAUAAGGUGCAGUCCUUGAGGCCGUCAGGGUUACAAGCAUGUUGAUGCUGCUGCUGCAUAUGAAGUGGAGCAGUCUGUAGGAGUAGCCAUAACGCCUUAACAGAAGCACUCCAACUUGGACUAAUUGUAUCCAAAGAUGACCUGUUUGUUAAUUCCAAAGUGUGGGUUAUUGACAACCAUCCUAAACUCUUUGUUCCUGCUCUGUAGAAAUUUCUAAGGUGAUGAUCACAACUGCUUUAACUUUAAUUUAUUAAUUGGAAUGAUCAUUUGUAUGAUUUUGUACAUCAAUUUAUACUUCAUCAUUUAAUUUUUAAAAAGCAAA